GUACUCGCUUCGGCGGUACAUAUACUAAAAUUGGAACGGUACAGAGAAGAUUAGCAUGGCCCCUGCGAAAGGAUGUCACGCAAAAUCGUGAAGCGUUCCACAUUUUU
rnacentral:snRNA from 1 species